AACGAACGCUGGCGGCAUGCCUAACACAUGCAAGUCGAACGAGACCUUCGGGUCUAGUGGCGCACGGGUGCGUAACGCGUGGGAACCUGCCCUUAGGUUCGGAAUAACUCCCCGAAAGGGGUGCUAAUACCGGAUAAUGUCUUCGGACCAAAGAUUUAUCGCCUUUGGAUGGGCCCGCGUUGGAUUAGCUAGUUGGUAGGGUAAAAGCCUACCAAGGCGUCGAUCCAUAGCUGGUCUGAGAGGAUGAUCAGCCACACUGGGACUGAGACACGGCCCAGACUCCUACGGGAGGCAGCAGUGAGGAAUAUUGGACAAUGGGCGAAAGCCUGAUCCAGCAAUGCCGCGUGAGUGAUGAAGGCCUUAGGGUUGUAAAGCUCUUUUACCCGGGAUGAUAAUGACAGUACCGGGAGAAUAAGCUCCGGCUAACUCCGUG
rnacentral:rRNA from 1 species